GAUGAACGCUGGCGGCGUGCCUAAUACAUGCAAGUCGAGCGAACUGAUUAGAAGCUUGCUUCUAUGACGUUAGCGGCGGACGGGUGAGUAACACGUGGGCAACCUGCCUGUAAGACUGGGAUAACUUCGGGAAACCGAAGCUAAUACCGGAUAGGAUCUUCUCAUUCAUGGGAGAUGAUUGAAAGAUGGUUUCGGCUAUCACUUACAGAUGGGCCCGCGGUGCAUUAGCUAGUUGGUGAGGUAACGGCUCACCAAGGCAACGAUGCAUAGCCGACCUGAGAGGGUGAUCGGCCACACUGGGACUGAGACACGGCCCAGACUCCUACGGGAGGAAGCAGUAGGGAAUCUUCCGCAAUGGACGAAAGUCUGACGGAGCAACGCCGCGUGAGUGAUGAAGGCUUUCGGGUCGUAAAACUCUGUUGUUAGGGAAGAACAAGUACGAGAGUAACUGCUCGUACCUUGACGGUACCUAACCAGAAAGCCACGGCUAACUACGUGCCAGCCGCCGCGGUAAGAC
rnacentral:rRNA from 1 species